UGUUGAUUGUAGAGACAGCGGG
rnacentral:miRNA from 1 species